UACGUAGGGGGCAAGCGUUGUCCGGAAUCAUUGGGCGUAAAGAGCGCGUAGGCGGUCCGGUAAGUCCGCUCUGAAAGUCCGGGGCUCAACCCUGGAAUGCCGGUGGAAACUGUCAAGCUUGAGUCCGGAAGAGGCGAGUGGAAUUCCUGGUGUAGCGGUGAAAUGCGCAGAUAUCAGGAGGAACACCGGUGGCGAAGGCGGGUCUCUGGGCCGAUACUGACGCUGAGGAGCGAAAGCGUGGGGAGCAAACAGG
rnacentral:rRNA from 1 species